UAGAAUUAAAAUUGAAGCUUCGGUUGAUUUUUAGUUUGAGAGCGGCGAACGGGUGAGUAACACGUUGGUAUCUGCCUCUAAGCCAGGGAUAGUCUAUCGGAAGAUAGAUUAAUACCGGAUAUACUCUGCGGAGUAAAGAUUUAUCGCUUAGAGAGGAGCCUGCGUCCUAUCAGUUAGUUGGUGAGGUAAUAGCUCACCAAGACUAUGACGGGUAAUUGGUCUGAGAGGAUGACCAGUCACAAUGGAACUGAGACACGGUCCAUACUCC
rnacentral:rRNA from 1 species